AUGUUCCGCCGCGCUACAUCCACUUUCCUCUCCCGCGCUGCCACUCGCCACUUCUCCACCGACGUGGCUACCCUCACCACCAAUUCCUCCUUCGUUGAAGCGUGGAGGAAAGUUAGCCCCAAUAUCGAUCCAUCACGACCACCUCCCGCCUCCGACUUGCCACCACCACGUCUGUUCUCCAACAACAUACAACUCUCAUUUCUUCCUGUUUGCAACUUGCAUCGCACCGCCCAGAUUCCAUAA